rnacentral:rRNA from 1 species
GGGCAAGCGUUGUUCGGAAUUACUGGGCGUAAAGGGCGCGUAGGCGGCCUGCUAAGUCGGAUGUGAAAUCCCUCGGCUCAACCGAGGAACUGCAUCCGAUACUGGCGGGCUUGAAUCCGGGAGAGGGAUGUGGAAUUCCAGGUGUAGCGGUGAAAUGCGUAGAUAUCUGGAGGAACACCAAUGGCGAAGGCAGCUCGCUGGGACGGUACUGACGCUGAGGCGCGAAAGCGUGGGGAGCAAACAGG